rnacentral:antisense_RNA from 1 species
CUUCAACGAGCCGAGCCACAGCGGCCGUUGGACCGGGCGGUCCUGUCCGUAGGUCGCGAGCAGCGCCUGGGCCUC